AGGGUGAAGAAGUACAAAACGAGUUCUGAUCUUGGUCCCUGGUUUUCUGCAAGGACCUCUACAGAGACCCCAGGAAGACCAUUGGGAAACCUCACAGUCCAGUGGUGUUUCUGCAAUAUACACAAUAAAAAGGUGAGAAACAACUCCUGAGUAACUACAAUAUCAUCUUAAGGACAUUAAAGAGCUCCCAGGAAGAAGAAGCAGAUUCCUGAUUCCCUGAAGACAAAUGAACAUAUGGACGCUGGAGCGUAUUUUUAAGUGAAGCUCCUGCUGUGCCAGAGGAUUUAUUUGUGUGUGGCUAUUUGUUUCUGGGCAUUGGAUUAGACUACUGAAGGAACGGUUUGGGAGGUAAGGAAUGCUGGGAACAGCUUUGUGUUCGCUCUGCUGAGCUCUAGUGCCUGGCUUCCAAAGUCCUCGUUCUACCUAGCUCUCAGAUUUUCCAAAUCUAGCUGUCAAUGACAUAGGACACCGCUAUUUUAUGAGAAGUCCUUGCUCUGCCCAGUUCUUGGUAAUCUUUCAGACACUUCCUCUUGUGCGUCUGCCUCAAUGCUACACUGAGCAAAGGGUGAAAGGUGUCUUCUGCAAAAUUCGCUGAUUUAUUUCUAGUGUGUGAGGGCAGAAUGGUCUUAUAAUGAACAACUCUAUGAGUCUUAGCAAGCUCUUUGCUUUGUGUACACACACUCACAAGGGUCUUCAGCUGCUAUAAACUCAAAUGGUGCCAGAAAAUGAAUGGGGUUGUGAGUAUUUGCACCAGGCAAUGAUCUGCCUCAAGUUGCUUCCAAGUAUAUGACAAAGAAUUAUGUUCAUUGACAGUACAAUGUAUUCAAACUGAAAUGGGUAGGCUUUCACUGAAAAUAAUAAAAAGUCAGGCCACAAAUUAAGACUAUUUGAUGUGAAAAGCAGUCAGAAAAACUUCAAAAGCUGCUGCUUGGGACUAUAAAAUUAUUUCACUAUCCAUACUGUCUGGAGGAAAUAAUAAGGUGUGAAUUAAACUACCAUAAUAGACCACAAAGUGGGCCCAGCAAGAAUAAAACUUGUGAGUAUUGUAAUGAACAAUAAUAUAUGCAAAUUAAACAUUCAGCCUCUCUCUGGCACAAUAACUAAACAUCAUAUGCCCACAGCCCCUGGAGGUAGGUAGUCCCUCUGAAAAGAAAGUAGAUGAAUAACACCUUCAUGAAAUAAAGACUGGUGGCACCAUGACGUAGACUAUAUUCAGCAGAGAAUUUCAGUGCUCUGGCACUCUUGGUAACGGAAACUAGAGUGUUGUUCCAAAUGCUUAAUAAAACCAGCUAGUAUGAUCAAGUGUAAAAUCUAAUGCCUACUUUCUACAGUUUUAAAUCUUCUCUAUUUGGAAAAUGAACAGUAUGAUCUAGCAACAUUUUUUCCUUCUUAAGGACAAUGAUCCUAUGUCACUAGUGUUAUAUGAAUACACUUCAUAUUACAUAGUUUU